UUUGAAACUUUAUAUCAAGUUUAAUAAUUUGCCGAGAGAAAGGAGAGACAAGUAAAAUCCAAAGGGCCCAAGAGAUAACCCGGUCCCCAUAAGAGAAUUGCGACCCAUAUUAUAUUUUAACAUGCUCUUUAUUGGAGUUUCCAUAAAAAAAUGAUGGAUACUUUGGGAGAGUAAGGGCAUCGGUUAGAUCGGAGGAGAUCCACAUCGUCUAAGAUCGAACUAAAGAUGCUACAAUGGCAACCACAGCAGGGUUCUAGCGGAGUUGUGUAGAGGUAGUGUUGGCGAGAGUAGAAAGAGAUAUGAACAGUAACCAAGCUGGAAUUCUGACGAACGUUGUUGCUUCAUUCAUUUCUCUGUGAGCCCAAUCCAAUUCCUAGAGCUUCUAGACUACUGGGAAUAGAAAGUGCCACCAAAGCUGGGGUGAGAAAUGAAGAUAUAAGGGCACAACUUGAGCUGUGCGGUACUAAUUGACAUAUGACUUGCAACUUGAGAUUUUCCUUGAUAUAUUAUAGGAACACAAUGAUUGAAUACAAGGACGCACAUUUUUCUAAUGGAUUUUGUGGCAACAAUGUAGACGGCUGCUGAUUCUUCAUCAAUGUCAUCUCAAUUGGCAGCCCAGCCCGAUGUACACACACAUGCUGUACCCUCGAUUUCUAUGGACGAUGAUGAUGGCAUCUCAUACAAAGGUUAGUAUGAUGUUCAUGAAUUUUAUGAGAAGGCUAGAUAUACAUUGCUUGCCGGGAACCUAAUUGCUUAGGUCAAGUUGUGAAUUAACAUCAUGUUAGUUCCACUGCUGCUGGGAGGCACCAUAUGACAUGCAGGCCAAAUGAGGGAAGUGUUAGGGCUUGAUGUACAUUGUAGGCCAGCAAGCUGACAAGCGAAUUUCUUAAGCAGAAUGGUGACUUAAUGUUUUCUUCAGCAUUUUGCUCGUUCCUUGAUGAAUUUAAUGACUCCCAUUGGUUUACCUUUUUCUUCAUUAUAAUGAUAUAGAUGGAGAUUCUUGUGUUAUAACUUUGUUAGGACAUUGUCUUCACUUCAUUAUGUUUCCCUGCUCUUUUGUUUUUGGAACAUAAAUCUGAAGAUUUAAAGUUUUAGAAAUCUCACGGAUAUAAUUUUUUUUUUCAAUCUACUAAAUUUCAAAUCCAAGUCCUGAAGUUGAAAUUCAUGUUCUCAGUCUUUAUAUAUCUUUCUUUAUGAACUUAUAUUACUAUACCUGAUGUUUUGAUUACAUUUACGGAUCCUAAUGAAUUCAAUAUUCAAUUCUUCUUGGUUAGCCCGCCCAAUUUAUAAUUCUUAUCUUAUUUUGCAUUAUUUCAUCCUCUUAGUUAAAUUUUUAUCUUGUACUUUGUUGAUUUUCUUCUUUUAGUCCUUUUAACCCCAAUUUAUCCCUUCUUUCAUUGUCUUAUUUGGAACAAUAAGUAGUUACAGUGGGAGCCACACAACCCUCCAGCAAAAAUAAAAUAAAAUAAACAAAAUAAAAUAAAACUUCAAAAAUACAUGAGUACUACAUUAAUGAUCAUCACUAUCCUCCUACCUUAAAUUUCAUUUUCAUUUUAUCUUUGUUUCUAUGAAAUUUAUUUAAGCUCAGUCUCUUAUUGUUGCAUUGUUUUAAGGGUCAGACAAGCCUAAAAAAUGAGUCAGAAUACACUUUCAAUGUGUAAGGAUCCAUGCAAUUCAGGCUACAUGAAUCUGUGUGUGCUAGAGCGCUGUUAGCAGGGGUAUGUGUUUUGGGAUUUCGGUGAUUUUUGUUGGUGGUUUCAGCACUGUCUGCUGGUGCUCUUGUGGAUUUCGGCACAUGGUUGGAUGCUUGUUUGAGUGAACUUCUUCGUGAGGAGCAGCGUCUCGUAACUCAGGCUUCCAUGGAAUGUUGGGCUACUGUCAGUGCCCUUAUUACUGUGGCUUAUGCAGCACAAGGGAGGAAUAAGGGUCGAGACACGCGUGUUCUCCAAUGCUAUAGCUGUAAAGCCUUUGGUCAUAUUGCUUGGGAUUGUCCUCAAAAGUUUUGUAACUACUGCAAGAAAUAGGGACAUAUCAUCUCCGCUCGUCCCAUUCGCCCUGAAAGGAAGCAAGGAUCAAGUGUCUGGGAAGAUGAUCGCGAAGGGGCCUAAAGUGGGAUGACUCUUUCCUCUGCACCUUUCUCCUUCCACAAUUAUUCCUUGUUAUCCUCUACUUUCUUUCGCAUGUAAUGUUGCAAAUCCUGGAAAUAAGAUGUGGCAUAGAUGUCUUGGCCACCCAAACUCAGAUGUACUUUGUACUUUUUUAAUUCUGGUUUGUUGGGAAAUACAACGUGUUCUUCUCUUAAUCUUUCCUUUGAUUGUACAAUAUGCAAACUUGGAAAAAGUAAAGUUCUACCUUUUCCUCAACAUGCAUCUCAUGCCUAACAAUGUUUUGAUAUUAUUCAUA